UUUUGAGAAGCUCAAAUAAGGUGCAAUUUAUAACAUCUAUUAGAUGUCAGCCACUACAUCAUAUCAGGACACACCUAAAACGAGUAAUGAAUUUUUCCUAUGAGCUAAACAAUAUAAAGAAAAAAAAUGCAAUUACAUACAAGUAGUCAAGAAUAACUUCCUGUAAAGUUCAGCAAUCCUACAAGUUAUUCAACAUAAAUUUGUAAUGUUUAUAUUUUCUCUCUUCACUAUUGUUUAUAAUACAAAUUAAAUCAAAGAAAAUUCAUGAAGAUUAUUCAAAGAAGCCAUAGCAAAGAAUUACCUCUAUUAGAUUGUCUACUUGUAACACCAUAACUUCCAAUAUAACCCUCAGAAUUUUUGGUAGUAACAUCUGAGGCUAUAUUGCCAAGCCCAUAACCAAAUGACCCAGUACCAUCUAGCUCAGGAGUGCCACUGCCAGACCGCCAAGAUGAAUCACCAUAAACUGAACCACUGCGGUACAAGUCCCCAUAGGACCCUUCAUAAACACCAGUUGACCCAGCAAAUGAUGAAGUUGGUGCUGCACCAGUGCCACUUGUCCUUCCAUACCCUCCCCCUCCCAACCCGUAGCUGCUAUCACCACCACUUCCAUAACCCAUGCUUCCACUGGUAUAACCAGAAGCACUUCCUCCACCUUGAGCUGAAACAUGAGAAGGGCCCCAAUUGACUCCACUAUUCCCAAAUGAAACCCCAAAACUUCCACUCCCAGAACCCAAGAAAGCACCAGGGCUGGCAGGAUUAGCAGCAGUAUUAAGACCCCCAUUUCCCCAGGGAUUCCGAGUAGUUGGGCUCAUAACAGAAUCAUUCCUUGCAUUCCCCACACCAUAUCCUAUUGGAGUACUAUACCUGGUUGAAUUCCCACUGUAAUAGGGGCUUAACAUUCGCCCAUACCCUGGACUGUUGCCAAAAUUAGAGCCCCCACCAUAGUUUGGACUCAAACCUGGCUCUAAAUUCAUACCCAUUCCAUAACCAGUAGUACCAAAUGGAGGAAAUCCACUUCGACCACUAGCAAGAGGACUAAACCUACUAUCCAUCCUCAUUCCAAAACCUCCAACUGAGCUCAUAUUAUAUCCCUGAGCAUAUGCAUUAAGGAAGUUGUUGGUCCUACUCAAACCAUAGUUAUAUCCCAUCAGAGGACUCCGACUAGGCCCUGGGGAUAGCUCCUUAGGGACUGCCCUCUUGACCUCAACCAUUUUACCAUUGAGUUCAUGAAAGGUUUUGUGCAACACUUUAUCCACAGCUUCCUCUGAAUCGUAAGUAAUAAAUCCAAAACCUCUUGGCCUUAGAGUGUUGUGGUCAUACAUAACCACAACAUCUGUAAUUAUCCCAAACUGAUCAAAGUACUUCUUAAAGUCAGUCUCUGUGACUGUAGAUGCUAAACCUCCUACAAAUAUCUUCUUUGUACGAGCUGGACCUGCUGAACCAUGUAUGCUGCUGUUGCUGUUUCUAUUCACAAUGUUUUGAUCCUCCCUAGGAACUGCCUUCUUUGCUUCAACAUUCCUCCCGUAUAUCAAAUGUUUUUCCAUCACAACUCUCUCAGCAACGGCAGGGUCUGCAAACACAACAAAACCAAAGCCACGGGCACGACCAGUAGCUCGAUCCUUCAUUAUCACAGCACCCACUACUUCUCCAAAAGCCUGAAAAUACUCUCUAAGUUGGUCUUCAUUUGUGUCCCAUGAUAACCCACCAAUGAAUAGCUUUCCAAGCUCCAUUUUCAUUUCUGCACACCAAUCUCAUCAGGAAAAUCCCAACAAAUGGAAACAAAAGAAAUAAAAACAUAAAACUGAACAUUUGAUCAAAAACUAAACAAUUUCUAUCAGUGUAACUACCAAACACCAGAUCUAAAUUGUAACAAGGAAUUGGAUGCAAAUAGAACAAGGACAUCCCAGUAUUCAUAGGCAUAAUAUAUCUCAGAAGACAUAGAAUAUAAUAUUAUGUUGAUAAAAACAAUCAGGUACAUAAUAUCAAAAUGCGGAUUAAACAAAGAGAACAACAAUACCUGGUAAAAAAAAAUAAUAAAACAAAGCUUGAAUAUUUACAGAUAUUUACGAAAUGGGUACUCUUGGAUUCAAUCCAAAAGCAUAAUACAACUUUAACUGAUCAAAGAUCAACCAGCGAUCAGGAUUCCUAAGAAACAAGGAGAAAAAUAUCAAAAUUGGCAAGGAAUGAGCUCAGGAUCCAAGACCCAGCAGCUAUGCAACAGAAAAUCUAAAAGUAAAGCUUUUUGUGAUUGAAAAUUUACCGAAGAAAAAGAAAAACUAAGAGAAUCUAAGAUCUGAGAGGAGGCAUAACAAGAAGAGAGGGCGAGAAAGGCCCUCUGUUUCUGCUCUCUCCCUCUCUGUCUCUCUGUGCAAUUACUGUGAACAAUUCAAUUGGAUAUUAUUACAAGGUCUAUUGAUAUUAAGAUUUUAUGUAUGGAGGAAGAAGGAGAGACAGAGAUGUGAGAGCGAAGAAAUAGGUUUGCAAGAAAAUAUUUAUAUAUAGCGAUAGAGAAAGAAAGGGAGAGAGGUUUGGCUAUCCUCUCGUCUCG
rnacentral:misc_RNA from 1 species